UCCGUAGGUGAACCUGCGGAAGGAUCAUUAAUGAAUUUAGAUUGAACCAUAGGCGAAAGCAGUGGUUCUUCUUUCAUAUCCAUAACACCUGUGCACUGUUGGAUGCUUGCAUCCACUUUUAAACUAAACAUUAUUGUAACAAAUGUAGUCUUAUUAUAACAUAAUAAAACUUUCAACAACGGAUCUCUUGGCUCUCGCAUCGAUGAAGAACGCAGCGAAAUGCGAUAAGUAAUGUGAAUUGCAGAAUUCAGUGAAUCAUCGAAUCUUUGAACGCACCUUGCGCUCCUUGGUAUUCCGAGGAGCAUGCCUGUUUGAGUGUCAUGAAACCCUCAAACCCAAGUUUUGGAUUUCGAUCCAUGCUUGAGUUUGGAUUUGGAUGUUUGCCGGUGAUGAACCGACUCAUCUUAAAAGUAUUAGCUUGGAUCUGUCUAUAUGACUGGUUUGACUUGGCAUAAUAAGUAUUUUGCUGAGGACAUCUUCGGAUGGCCAGGACCUAGACUACUGUCUGCUAACUAAACCAUCACUUUAAGUGCAUCUUUGGAUGUUACUCAUUGUGUAACUUUGACAUCUGGCCUCAAAUCAAGUAGGACUACCCGCUGAACUUAAGCAUAUCAAUAAGCGGAGGA
rnacentral:rRNA from 1 species